rnacentral:rRNA from 1 species
AUUGAACGCUGGCGGCAUGCUUUACACAUGCAAGUCGAACGGUAACAGGCCUUCGGGUGCUGACGAGUGGCGAACGGGUGAGUAAUGCAUCGGAACGUACCCAGAGGUGGGGGAUAACGCAGCGAAAGCUGUGCUAAUACCGCAUGUGAUCUGAGGAUGAAAGCGGGGGACCGAGCAGCAAUGUUUGGCCUCGCGCCUUUGGAGCGGCCGAUGUCGGAUUAGCUAGUUGGUGGGGUAAAGGCCUACCAAGGCGACGAUCCGUAGCUGGUCUGAGAGGACGAUCAGCCACACUGGGACUGAGACACGGCCCAGACUCCUACGGGAGGCAGCAGUGGGGAAUUUUGGACAAUGGGCGCAAGCCUGAUCCAGCAAUGCCGCGUGCGGGAAGAAGGCCUUCGGGUUGUAAACCGCUUUUGGAAGGAACGAAACGGUGUCGGCUAAUACCGAGCGCUAAUGACGGUACCUGCAGAAUAAGCACCGGCUAACUACGUG